rnacentral:tRNA from 1 species
GCGGAUCGUGCGUCGGAUGGGCAAGGACGGCUGGCUCGGCGUCGGCUGGCCGAAGGAGUACGGCGGACGCGGGUUCGGCGACCUCGAACAGCAC